rnacentral:rRNA from 1 species
UACGUAGGUGGCAAGCGUUGUCCGGAUUUACUGGGCGUAAAGAGCGCGCAGGCGGUCGUUCAAGUCGCGUGUGAAAGCCCCCGGCUCAACUGGGGAGGGUCACGCGAUACUGAUCGACUCGAAGGCAGGAGAGGGAAGUGGAAUUCCUGGUGUAGCGGUGAAAUGCGCAGAUAUCAGGAAGAACACCCGUGGCUAAGGCGGCUCUCUAGUACGGUACUGACGCUGAGACGCGAAAGCGUAGGGAGCGAACAGG